UACGGAGAGUGCAAACGUUGUUCGGAUUCACUGGGCGUAAAGGGCACGUAGGCGGCUCGGCAAAUCGGUCGUGGAAUCCCGACGCUUACCGUCGGAACGGCGGCCGAAAAUACCGGGCUCGAGGGCGUGAGGGGUCACUGGAACUCCUGGUGAAGCGGUGAAAUGCGUAGAUAUCAGGAGGAACGCCGGAGGCGAAAGCGAGUGACUGGCGCGUUCCUGACGCUGAGGUGCGAAAGCUAGGGGAGCAAACAGGAUUAGAUACCCUGGUAGUCCUAGCCGUAAACGAUGGACACUGAGUGGAGGAGGGCUUGCCUUUCUCUGCUGCAGCUAACGCGUUAAGUGUCCCGCCUGGGGAGUACGGCCGCAAGGUUAAA
rnacentral:rRNA from 1 species